UGAGAUUAGGCUGCUCUGAGCUCGCGGUCGGUCCGGUGAACGCGAGGACACCGGCUGGCAGAGUGAGAACCCCACACACCGCGGCAGGUCCUCCGGGAAGGAUGUCCAUGAUGAGUCCGUGGAGGAGAACGACCAGAGCCUAGCGGCUGCUUCCUCACCGACCGACCGCUGGAUGUUAAAGGUGUUUCCGGUCCUGCGGGAGGAACAGGUGUCAGCCGCGCUCUCCAACCUGACUGGGACAGCAGGGUGUCCACUGGGUCUCUGGUCUUCUGGUGCUUUUUCCCCCCACUUCUUCUUCGUCUCUGAGCCAUGUUGUGGACGCGGUGGCUCGUCCUGCUGCUCUGGUGGGGGGCCACCUGCGCAGAGCAGCAGGCGGAAGAGAGGGAAGGUCAGCGGGCGGAGGUCAGGGCCGACCCCCGCAGGCAGCGCUCCCCUCCGCCGGUGGAGCCGCUGGACUUUGGGUUUGUUCCCGCAGCGGUUUAUAAUACCCACGCUUACUACGAGCCGGGGACCAUCGGAAUCCUUUUCCACAUGGUCCACGCGUUUCUAUACGUGGUUCAACCAAACUCUUUCCCCAAAGAUCUUAUUGUCAAUGUCAUUCAGCAAAAUAUGGGAGGAAUUAAAGUAGAAGAAUGGAGUAAGCCAGAAAACGUUGUCCUGUUGCUACAGUGGAUCCACUAUGAGUCUGGAUUCCUGAUCUGCGCCGUCUUUGGAAUCCUGUUCGUGGUCCUCACGCCGAUCGUCGCCACCUGCUUCUGCAUGUGUCGAUGCUGCGACAACUGUGGCGGUGAGAUGCAUCAGAGGCAGAGGAAGAACGCGGACUGUCACCGAGGAUUCUUCACCGCCUCACUCAUCGCCACCACCAUUUUCAUCAUUCUGGGAGUUCUUGUCGCCUAUGCAGCCAACCAUAAUAUCAGCACUCAGAUCAAAAGCACCCGAAGACUCAUAAACACCAACAUGAGGGACCUGAAGACAUUUGCUAACAACACCCCAGCGCAAAUCGACUACCUGACAGCCCAGUACACCACUGCCAAGAACAAAGUCCUGUCAGACCUCGACAACAUCGGACCUCUGCUGGGUGCCAGAAUCCACAGCCAUCUGGAGAAAGAGGUGGUUCCUGCGCUGGACGUCGCCCUCAGAAUGGCAGGAGCAAAAGUUGAGAGUGCUAUUAAAGCCAUGCGGGAAACCAAAGAAGCUCUGGAGAACGUCAGCUCUGCGCUGGAGAUCCUUCAGGAGGGAAUGGGAAAGCUCCAGACCAGCCUGGCCGGGGAGCGUUCCUCUCUGUCCAACACCCUGUCGGACCCGGCCUGCACCAACGGAGCCGUGUCCCCCACCUGCAACACGAUCCGCUCCACCCUGCCUCAGCUCGGAACCAACGCCGACUUCUCCAAGCUUCAAAAUGUUAACGAAGCCUUGACCAACAUAAACACUGUACUGAAAAUAGAUCUCAGCAACAUUGUACAAAAGGGUUACGCCUCCUUUAAUGACACCCCAGCGAUGGUGAAAGAACAGACCAAGAACAUCGUCACAGCUCUGCCUCGAGUGAAAAGCAUGCUGGAUAAGAUUGGAAAUGAGAUCACCAGUUUCUCCAAGAUGUUCCCAGUGGAAUCCUCUCUUGCCAAUUUCACCAUUUUUCUCAAUGACAGACACAAGUUCAUCGAGUCGUUUUACCCCCAGGUGGACCAGAUGGAUUUCUACCGGUGGAUCGCCUGCGUGGCCGUUCUCUGCACUGUCGUCUUGAUUCUGGCCUUCAACAUGCUGGGCCUGCUCUGCGGCACCUGCGGCUACGACAAGCAGGCCAGCCCGACCACACGCGGUUGCCUGUCCAACACCGGCGGAAACCUGCUGAUGGCAGGCGUGGGAUUCUCCUUUAUCUUUGCCUGGGUGCUGAUGGGUCUCGUUACCACUCUGUUUGUUGUUGGAGGCAACGUGGAGAAGCUGAUAUGUGAACCUCUGGCCAACCGACAGCUGUUCAAGAUUAUUGAUACGCCAUUCCUGGUUCAUCCUGAAAAACGUAAUUUUCUUCCUGGGAUGCUCUUCCAGAAUCCAAACAUUGACUUGACCCUGGGCAGCAUGUACAGGGAGUGCUAUGAGAACAACGGUCUAUAUCACGCUCUGCAGCUGGAGAACAUCUUCAACAUCAACUCGUUCCUAAACAGGACUGUGUACAACAGAGAUCUGGCCAAAGUGUUGGAAGGAGUCCAGGUGGACCUGAGGGACAUCAUGCUGUUGGACCAGGCUGGCAGAGACAACCUCAUGAACUUCGCAAAUUCAGGAGUUGGAGAAAUUGACUAUCCGGCUUACCUGGCUGAGGUGAAUAAGGGAGUCACUAUUGUGGAUCUGCUGUCUUUCUGCUCUGAUCUGGAGGAUCAAGCCGACCAGCUGCCCCGUGGAGCUUUGGAGAACGCUCUGAAGGGACACGCCAGCAGCAUCAGAAGCAUCCACAGGGAGCAGGUGGUGCCCCUGGAGCAAGCCAUGAAAUAUGUCCGAGCGCGGAGCACCCUGAGCCAGGGCAUCAAGCUGCUGCAGAAGAUGUCCAACGACCUGCCUAUGAAAGUCACGAACAUCCUGAGCGCCAUCGAUGCAGCAGAAUAUCUCAUCACUCAAAAUGCCUCGCAGGUGGUGAAACAGGAGACGAAGGCCUUCGUUCACAGCCUGGUGGGAUACUUCAGGCAGUACACUGACUGGGUUAAAAACUCCCUAUCUGCAGAGGUUGCCCAGUGUAAACCCAUCAGCAACAUGGUGGACAGCAUGGAGAUAGUGGGUUGCAGCUUCAUCAUUGACUCAGUGAACACGUUUUGGAUGGGUUUAGGAGCCUGCUGCAUCCUGUUGAUUCCCAGCAUUGUCUUUUCCGUCAAACUGGCCAAAUACUACAGACGGAUGGACACAGAGGACGUCUUUGAAGACGCUCCCUAUAAUGACACACUGACUUGGUUCCCUCGGGCCUCGGCGCCACCAAGUGAAUGGUGACCUGCAGGAUGUGUCUUCCCUUUUAGAGUGGACAGGAGAACUGGAACUGAUCAGUCCUGUAAAGGAUUUCUGGGAUUUUCCCAGCUUUUAAAUCACCCAAAGCUUCAGUGGAACAAAAAAAGGGAAUAAAAACCAACAAUCUGUGUGGUGGGGUGUCUCCACCCCGGCGCUCCUCCAGCUCUCCGUAAGAGACCUCUGACGGCCGUCGUCUGCUCAGUCCUCGCUCGAUCGCUCCAGCAUCCUUUAGCUUCUCAUGCUAUAGAAAUCUCAGUUCCUGCAUCAUAAGCUGCACCUACAUCAGUUUUACCACCACAACCAAAGUCAUCAUUUUAUACACUUUCAAAACUUUUGAAAGUUUUAUAUAUUUUUUUGUUAAUCUUUGUUUUAUAUGUUAGUCAGGUUUUUUUUUUUUUUUUUUUUUUUUUGUAGAUUUAUGUUUUUUUUCUUUGUGGAUAUUUGUACCAUAGUACAAAUUAUUUGGGAUGAUUGAUUGCGUACAUGUUUAGGGGAAAGUGUAAAACAUGUUUCGCUAAAUAACUAAACACUUUAGUGGAUAACUAACAAAAUAAAACAUAUACUCCUUCAAAAAAUAGAAAAUGAACUUAAUAAUGGCUUAAUGUGAAGUAUUUCUAAUAACCAGAGUUUUACUUUGUCUUCUAAUCAUCAUGAAUGUCUGCAGAAAACUCUGGCCCGUCCGUCCUGACAAAAAAAAUACCAAACUCCUGCUUUGCUAGCAAAAGGUAUAUUUCAGUUUGUAGUAUAACAUUUUAAUUGAGAUUAUAUCUUACAUUUGAGAUUAUACCAAGGAUAUAUUCGUUGAAGUUUUUAUAACAUCUAUGGACAUAUUUUUUUUUUCACAAGCAACCAGGAAGCAAAAGGGGAUCCCCAAAAUGUUGGACUAUGCCUUUAAAUAUUGAACAAGUUAAUUGGCAGCUCCAGUUUAUCACAUUAUAAGAGAGAAGAGCUGCUGUUGUUAACACGUGCUGCUUUUUACCAUGAUGUUACGUAAGUACUUUUAGACGGCUAACGUGCAAAGGCAGCGUAGCCCACGUUAGUCCAUUACGGCAAGCCCUGUUGACAUGACAGCAAGGUUUAAGGACGAAAGAGACAUUUUUGGCGUUUCUCCAGAAGGAGCAAAUCUGUGAAUAAAAACUUGAGUCCAA